AAACUGAAGAGUUUGAUCCUGGCUCAGAUUGAACGCUGGCGGCAUGCUUUACACAUGCAAGUCGAACGGCA
rnacentral:rRNA from 1 species